GCCUUCUUAGCUUAGUUGGUAGAGCACCCGCUAAGUAAGCGGGAGGUCGUCUGUUCAACUCCGGCAGAAGGCU
rnacentral:tRNA from 1 species